rnacentral:ribozyme from 1 species
CACAAACACAACAUACAAAAAAGAAGAAAUAAAAAGAAACGAAAGAAAGAAAUGAUGAAGUCGCUUGUAUUUACCAUUAG